UACGUAGGGCGCAAGCGUUGUCCGGAAUUAUUGGGCGUAAAGAGCUCGUAGGCGGUUUGUCGCGUCUGCUGUGAAAACCUAAGGCUCAACCUUGGGCUUGCAGUGGGUACGGGCAGACUAGAGUGCGGUAGGGGUGACUGGAAUUCCUGGUGUAGCGGUGGAAUGCGCAGAUAUCAGGAGGAACACCGGUGGCGAAGGCGGAUCUCUGGGCCUUACCUGACGCUGAGGCGCGAAAGCUAGGGGAGCAAACGGG
rnacentral:rRNA from 1 species